rnacentral:sRNA from 1 species
GUCAUUAAGCUGGACGGUAUCACCAACAACAAACAGUUCAACGUUCAGGAUGACAAGCUGAAUGACGUCAGAACAAUUUUAUUGUCCUAUGAUGAUUAACUCCUGACAAGGAAAGAAACAGUUCUUAAUGCCCCUGCUUAGUUUCGGCCUCCACGAUGACUCUGCUCUGUAGCCUGGUCUACACAUGUAUUUAAACACACCUAUAAUGUGGACUACUUUUUAACGCUAUUAUUGGGGGCCAAUGUGUUCCGUAUAACCAAUGACACAUUCGUUUAAAGACAUUUCUUUAGUUGUGUGGAGAAUACAACGAUCAAAGGCUCACAUUUUUAUUUUGGGGCCCGCUAAGUCCAUUUUUUUUUUAGGUAGGUAAAGGGUUAAACUUGUAUACAGUGGCGAAGCAAGGCAUCCAUGUUGCCGGCAGGUCCGACGCCAGGGACGCUGAUAUUGUCAAUUGUAGUCAAACUGAAUUUCCGUUUGAUUGGAUCAAUAAAAUUAUCUUAUCUUAUCUAGAAACAAUUUGGAAUCUAGUUUGGGUACCGAAUAGAUGGGGGGAGGGGGGGGCAUUCACUCUUAUUGUAAUGCAUCUUGUAGAAGUACUUGAAGGUUUUUGGGCAUCUGGGAGGGGGGAGAGAGAUAGAUGGGAAAUCACAUACCCAGUUGUCUGGGGCCGGAAAUAUUUCUGGGGCCUGGUUGAAAAAUAGGCUGGGCGUGACAAAAAGCAAGUCAGUUCAUUCUGUUUGUAUUAGAACAUAUACAAAAGAACAUAUAUAUAUAUAAUAUACACAACUUUCUAUAAAUAUUAGUGUCCUGACAUUAAAUUCAUUUACGACUUCGUACACGUAACAAUUGU